CCAUGAUUCCAUCCCCCCGUACGUUCGAUACAUGAACGUUCCCAUUCGGAUACUCCAGCACCACCGCCUCCCUUGCCUUCGGUGGAUUUAAACUUAGAAAGUAGUAGUGUUACCACAUUUCGUGAUUUACCUUAAGGAAAUCUGUUACCUCUGAAUUUUUCUUUUGAAUUUCUUUCAAGGUGCCCCCGGUUGUCCCAUGUGCCCAAUGCCACCUAUGAACCAAUAAAUGUAAUUAUUGUAUUAUUUAUUAAAUAAAAGUUUAUUGAAACAAAGAGAAUAAAAUUAUAUGCCAAAUUUUUUGAUGUUUUCGUUUAAAAAAUAUACAAAAAUCUAAGAAAAAAAAAACAAACUACUAUUUAAGGUUGUGUGUGUGGAUAUUAAAACAAACAAAAAACAACAACAAGUUGGUUUACAAUUGUGCAUCUGUAAUGUGAAAUAAAUAAAUGUGAUUCGAAUGAUAAUUUUUUGUUUCGAUGUGAAACUGGAUCAUAACAAGCAACCAACCAACCAACCAACACAUGUAUAGUCUGCAGGCGGACCUUUAGCUCCAAUUACUCCUCAGACACACAAGACACAGAAGAAUGGAAAAGCGAAAUGCAAGAGAAACUCGAAACAUUUAUUUGAAACAAACAAACAAACCAACAACAAAAAGUAACUAUAAAACAAACAAAUCUACUUAUCAAACGUAUCUUUAUAUAUAUCAUAUAUUUUGGAAUUAUGUAAAAAACAAAUGUGUAUGUAUUAAUCUUUAAUUACUAUUAUUAUUAUUAUAUAAACAAGAGAAUUUAGUAAUAAGUUAUACAAACAACAUGAAAAAAGAAAAUUCCGCCAAAUUUACACUAAACAAAAAAAUGAGAAGAGAAGAUAAAAAAAAACUCGAAACUGUCUGAUGCUACCAUAUAGACCACAUAUAACAAUAACAACAACAAAAAAUUACAACAAGAACUUUGAAAAAGACUUACCAAUGUACAAUUUUUUUGUCUUCUAAUUAAUUUAAAUUAUAAAAAAAAAUAUAAUCUUUCUCUGUCUCUCACACAGCCCCAAAGCUUGUUUUGGUAACUUCACAAAACUUCUUCCUAACAAAAAUAUAUUUUGAUAAUUUUUUAUAUAUCUAUAUAAUACCUAUAUACAAAUGAAACAAGCAAACAAACAAAAAAACAAACUCGAAUCAGGCUACCAACAAAAUAAACAUACAUAUUUAUAUUAAAUAAGUGUUAAUUUAAGUUCAGCAAAACAAAAAAAAAACAAAAUUCUCACUUCCAUGCCUAGGCAAAAAGUGUAUUUACAUAGAAAGACAACACAUUCGUACAUACAUAAUCAUCAUACAUAGACAUUUAUAUAUAUAUAUAUAUACAUACAAAACAAUCCAAGCCAAAAUGAAAGCAAAUACUUCCCUCUCUUCGCAAAAAAAUGCCUUCUUUUUUUGUAUAUUUUCGUUUCAUAGAGAACAAACAAAUAAUAUACAUAUAAAUAAUUUUAAAAUAAAGUCGUUAGUUUUUUUUUAAAUAUCUCAAAAAAAGAGUUUUAAAUUUCAAUAUGCCAACGUAUUUAAACUGUAUGCCAAGUCCCCUAUGCUUAAUUAUAGAAAAAAAUCAUAUUUACAAAUGAAAUACAAAGGCUCCAAAAAUAAAAAAUAAUAAGAAAAUGGCAUGCUUCUUUAAAAUGAUUCCAAAGCAAAUUUGAUUAAAACACAAGUAGCUUGCAGAUUAAAAAAAUAUAUUUUUUUUUAAUUUAAAUGUGGUUUAAAGUCGAAGUAAAGCCAAAAUCCAAAAUAUUGUGAGGGGCUUGUCGAACUGUUUUAGAAAAACAUGCCAAUUUUAUUUCGAAAUGAUACAAGUUUAGUCUUCUUUAACUCCCCCUGCUCUCCCGAAAAACUGUAUACUAUUAACUUUUUUUUUUUUUUGAAUUUUUUAAAUAAUUAUUAUUUCGAUUAAAACACUAUCCAUCCCUUGUACCAUGUACCUACACCAUACACAUAUAUCCAGCAUCAAAUAGUGUUAAAAAAAAUUAUGAAAAAAAACACAAUAACAAAUUUUCGAAGCUAAUUUUGUAAAAACAUCAAUUCUUUUUGGAUAAUUUGUAGAAAACAAAAUUUCGAUGUUGCUUAGCAAAAAGAAAAGAUCUAACAAAAGUUAUUUGUCAAAAAGAAAAUAUUUGGAAUCGGCCCUAUUACCGUUGUCGUCGCAAAAUUAAGUCGAGGCGCCAAUUACGGUAUUAGGUUUGUCGUUUUUUUUUUGUCUAUAGCCAUGAAUGAUUGCUAUUCGGCCCUAUUAUGGUUGUCAUCGUCGUCGUAAAAUUAAGUCGAGGCGACAAUUACGGUAUUAGGCUUGUCGUUUCUGUCGAUAGCCAUAAAUGAUUGCUAUUAACAUUGAACUUUGAAACGGAACCCUUGUUGAAGGGCAAAGAUGGCGAUUUCUAGGAAUCAAAACGCCAGGUUAUAUUCAGAUAGUGGUUUUCGUUAUUUUUUGCAGUUACUAUCUUGUGAUUAGACUCGCGAACAUCUGGUUGAGAGUGGUAACAACGAUGUGUGUGUGUAUCAAUAUGCGUAGUUAAAACGAUAACACCAAAAGGUGAUAUUAACAUUGGCGAUACAAAAGUCGACGUGAAGUCGUUUUUGAAGAAUAUCUGUCGUUGUAAAAAAUUGUGACGUGACAUUGUAUUUCUUAGUCGACGUUGAUAUUUUAACUAUUUUGUAUUUGAAAAUUUGACAAUGAAAAUAACAACAGCAAAACAAUUUGGAAAUAUUGAAGUUAUUUCCGACACUGGUCUACUAAGAUCCUAGCGCUAAAAACCUCAAUGCUGUGGCCAAUUGGAACUUUACUUUAAAAAACUUUGAUUUUUUCGAUUUUUUUUCCAGAGAUCGUUAUUUUUACCUGAAUUCGGGAAACAAUAUUUUUUGGUAUGGACCCGGGACCGCCCCUGGACUCGAAAGUCCAGGUGCCAGAAUCCACUUACUCGAUAUAUGCAAUAUAGGUACCUGUUGAUAGAUUAUAAAAAAUACCUAUCCAACAAGUGGUCGCAUGACAACCGAAGGCAGACAACUUACAACAACUGUUAAAUUUAGAAAACUUUACUUCGCGUAACCGUAGAAGAGAAUAUCUCUGGACCCAGAAAAGGUUUAAGCCCAAAUUGUAGCAUUUUGGAAAGCUAAGAGUGGAGGCUAUAAUUUGGCAUCAAUUUUGUUGAUAAAAAUUCCGGGUCUAAAAAAUCGAUAAUUUGACUAUAACUUCCGAACCGCUUUAAAUAAACCUCAUCAAGUGACCACUUGUUGGAUAGGUAUUUUUAUAAGCGAUACCGUCUAUAUUGGGUAAGUGGAUCCGUGAUUUUUUGGUCAAAAAUCUGGGGUCACGGGUCUAUCCCCCAAGAAAAUAUAUAUAAAUAGUUUCCCGGAAUCAGGGUAAAAAUAUCUACAUUGGAAAAAAUUUCAAAAAAAAAAUUGAAAGCUUGGCGAAAUUUCUAUUAGCACAUGCUGAAAGCAGUCCUUGUUAAUUCUGAAGUAAUUUAAAAAUCUAAAAGAACACUGCAAACAAUUUUUUUCAUCUUUAUUUGUCAACAACAAGGGAGUGUUGCCAACUUUUUUUAAACUGUCGAUGUCGCUUCUAUGCCUUACCGUAAUACCUUUUUUGAAUCGAAGCGAUGGCGAUGACGGUAUGCACAUAACGUCGACGACUAUAGAUAUGACAACCGUAAUUGGGCCGAAUAUCUUGAAUAUAUUUGUUCCAGAAUUUGGAAGAUUCUACUAGGAAAAGGAGAGUAAAAAGAAAAAAGGGUAUUCCAAAAAGUUUUUUUUUUUAAGUAAUAGGGCUUCCUCAUGUCGUCUGUUGAAAAAGUCCUCAGUUGAUGUUAUAUGUUCCAAUAAUUAUUCCAUGUUGCAAUACUUUGCACUCUAACAAUUUUCUUAAAAAACAAAUGAUGUUUUUACAAAAUUAAAAACAUUUUUUAUUGGGGAUGAGAAAUACAGGGUUGCCCAUAUUCGACGGACCCAUCUGGCAACGCCAUAACUUUUGACAGAGAUGUCACAUCGCUUAAUGACAUACCGCGUUUGAAGCGUCAGUCCAAGCAGAUUUUUACCAUGAACCAAUACACGCCACGUGAGCGCUCUGAAAUAGUUAAAAUUUACAUUCAACAGAAGAAGUCAAUUGUGAAAACUCAACGUGCUUUUAAAACAUUAAAAAAUGUGAGAAGUGCGCCUUCUAAGAACACCAUUAAGCGUUUAUACGAAAAAUUUUCGACUGGUAAGGCUCUUUCUAAUCCGGAGUGGCCAUAUAAAAGUCGACCAAGGCGAUCGGCCGAGAAUAUCGCUGCCGUACGAGCCAGUAUUGAGAGGUCCCCAAGAACAUCCCAAAAACGCCGUUCUCAGCAGUUGGGUAUGGCUCGGUCCACUUUACAACGGAUUAUUCGCAUUGAUUUGCAUUUGUUCCCUGCGGACACGCCUCGUCGAUUGGAAUGGGCCCAAAGAGUCAUCGAAAUGGCCGAAAAAAACAUGGGUCCGUCGAAUAUGGGCAACCCUGUACCUUUUAUAUCACAUUGCCAUCACUUUCGAAAGACAUUUCAAAAGGUCUUAUAGUGUGAGUGACACGAAUGUUCUUAAAAAGCUUGGAAAGGAAGAAAAUGUGUUAUAUUUUCAGAUAUGUGAUGAUAAUCGAUUUGGAUUGUAAAUCGGAAUGGUAUUCACUUUAAUGAUCUUUGAUUAUAAACAGACCUUUCUUUUGAGGGUAUGCUUAUAAAAAACAAUAUUUUCAAAAUGUCGAUUUUAGUCAAAAUGACACGAAUUCGUCUCCCUCUCAUGAAAGAAAAGACGAAUUCGUUUCAUUUUGGGCUAAAAUCGAUUUAUGGAAAUUUUGAAAAUAUAAUUUCUUAUAAGCAUACCCUCAAAAGAAAGGUCUGCUCAUAAUCAAAGACCACUACAUUAAAUCCAAUUCCGAUUUACAAACGGAAUCAUCAAUAUCAUCACAUACCUGAAUAUAUAACGAUUUUUAUUAUCUUACGUUGGAAAUGUCCUCAUACCUGAUUGUAAUCGCUUAAAGUUACUUCUAAAAAUCGAGAAAAGAAGAAUAAAUUGUUUUAUAUAUUUUUAUUUAUGUAUCAUUACUAGAAGAUCAAUGUUUGUGGCUGGCCUUACGUCGAUUUAGGAUCAAUGUCAAACUCAAGAGGAAAAAUGGGCCAAUUUAGGCCUUUCAAAUAAAUAAGGACUUUCAAAUAAAUUCCAAAUAUUAAUGCAAUAUUUCAAUUUAAAAUGGUCUGCAACUCAUUAUUAGACAUUUCGAUCCUAACUUGAUGCGACGAACAGUAACCACACAUUGACCACCAAAAUCCAUCCAUCCAUAAAAAUUAACUAUUCAAAAAAAGAGCGUUUUAGGGGAAGACGAUUGAAACGAAAAAAGGGAGUUUUUAGGAAAGGGUGUAAUUGUUAAAAAAUAUUUGUUUUAAAUUUCGAAUAAAAAUUGUUUUGGUAAUACCGUCGAGAUUCUCUAUAACAUAGAUGUUGUUAUAAAAAGGCUAAGGUCCAAAAAAGCUAAAAUGGUUUCCCUUUUUAAUUUACAGUCGAUAUUUGAAAUCCUCGUGGAAAAGUUCGCAUUUAUUACCCGAUCCAGAUGAAAUUUUGCACAAGUCAUUUGUUUGACCCAAGGACGAACACUAAUGAAAUUGAAGAUAAUCGGUCAAAAUUUAAAUAUAGCUCCCAUAUAUAUCUUCGUCCGAUUUGCCGAUUUAUUAUGCACCAAACAUGUAAUAUCAGCCCAAAUAGUGUGGAAUUUUGCAUAUACGUCCAUAUUAAGUCUGGAAAUAAGUAUGUUCAAUUUGGUGGAAAUCGGUUCAGAUAUAGCUUUAGCUCCCAUAUAUAUUGUUUAUCCGACUUGAUAGUUUUGUCCUCCGCAGUCAUGCAAUAUGCACUCUGUAACAACGAUAUUUGGGGAAUUAUAUCAAAUGCAGCUUAGAAAUACCUUUGCUAAAUUUUAUCAAGAUCGGCUCAGAUUUGAAUAUAGCUUUCAUAUAUAUCUUCGUCCGCUUUGCCGUUUAUUAUGCACCAUAUAUUAUUCAUCCGAUUUGUUAUAUAUUUUAUUUUUAUGUGAAGCUCUACUAAAUAUGCAAAUGACCUUCUUUACUGCUUUUUCCUUAUAAGAGUUAGUUGAUAAAAGAAACAGUUUUUAGAUUGGAGAUAUAAAUGGAAACAAUUUUUUAACCUAUUUCAAAAUAAUUUUUUUUCUAGCGUUCUGGCGUUUCAAAUUUUCCCAACUUGAUUCUAGGCUUAAUUUUAUAAACCAAAAUCUUUAAUUUAAUAUUUUGCAAUUUAACUUUUUCAACAAAUAUAUUCCAACAAUUACACCUUUGCCUAAAACUAUCACACAGACAAAAGAAACGACAACAUCCAUAGAACAUUAGUUUGACAACAAAAGUAUAGUACAAGUGUUUUCAUUUGAAAAAUGAAAACGGAACCGAUCUAAAUGAUAUUUACACUCAAAUAACAUUACAUACAUAUGCUCUCUAUUUACAAAUCAUCAAUAAAAGAAAAACAUAAAUAUAUAUAUCUAUACACUUAACAAUACAUACAUAUGCCAGAAAAGAUUAAAUCAAAUGAUAUUUAAAAAAAUAACUAAAUAUAAUAUAUUUAUCUAUAUACAAAAGAAAAAAGAAAUUAUUUAAAAGAAAGGAGAAGAUUAAAAUUUAUUGAAAAAAAAAUCCAGAAAAAAAUUAAUAAAAAAAAACUACAUCAUGUAAAAUUUAUAUUACCAAACGAAAAAAAUAAACUAUUGUUGUAAAUUGAAUAUUACACUAUUGUAAAACACACACAAAUAUGAAUAUCAACAAAAUUGAAUAUUUAUAUUUUUAUUAAAUAUAUUCUAUAUAUAUUUUUCAAAAAUCCCGAAAAAAAAACAAAACCCAACUCAAAUAAAUGUCUAAAAUAUAUAUUUACAAUAUUUUAUUAAUUAAUGAAAAAAAGAAAAUGAAAACUAAAGGGCAUUGCAAAUAAAAAUAAAAAAAACGAGAGAAAAAUUUAAAGAAAUAAAAAAAUGAAGGUGGAGGCUAAUUAUUGUCAUCAUUAAAAAAAAGGCAAGAUGUUGAAAUUGUGGGCUCUCUUUCUUAUUUGAAAUAAAAAAAAUUCGGGAAACCAUACUCAAUCGAAUCGUGGAUCUACUUUAGUCUCACUUUUUUCUCUCUAUUGUGGAACCAUGAAAUCUUGUUUUUUUUUUAUAAAAACUACUAUAGACCUGCUUCAGGAACAGAGAAGGUCUCCUGUCAUUCGAAUUGACCUCGAAAAACUAAAAAGGUUUUAUUGAUAGGGUCCAUUUUAGACCCAAAGUUUUUUUUCUCUCAAUUGUGGAACCAUGAAAUCUUUUUCUUUUUAUAAAAACAAUUACAGAUCUACUUCAGGAACAGAUAAGGUAUUCUGUCAUUUGAAAUGACCUCGAAAAACUAAAAAGGUUUAAUUGACAGUGUCCACUUAGGACCGAAAGUUUUUUUCUAUCAAUUGUGGACCCAUGAAACUUUUAUAAAACAGAUUAUAGUUCUACUUCAGGAACAGAGAAGAUAUUGUGUCAUUUGAAUUGCCCUCGAAAAUUUAAAAAGGUUUUAUGGAUAGGAGACAUAUCUGCAGUGAGGGGAGGCCUUCAGAGGAGACGUUUAGAAUUUCUUAAAAAAACCUUCACGUACAAGCCUUUCAUAUAUACGAGAUUGAAGGAAGAUCUUCCAUACAUAGAAAAUCCAUGAAAAAUAUUCUAUCUUUUCUUCUCCGAAACCUAAAGAGCUCUUCUAUCUACAGAGAAUCUAGGAAUAUCUAAUAUUCCUAUUCACUUCCUGGAAACCUAAAAAGGUCUUCUAUCUGAAGAGGUCCUAGGAAUAUAUAAUAUUCCUAUUAGAUAUUCCUAGGUCCUCUCUUGAUGUUCUAUGUGUGGAGGAUAUUCCAUGUAUGUAAGAUCUUCCUCCGGUCUCCUAAAUAUGAAGAUUUUUUAAGGAAUUCCGACUGUAAAAGACCUAUAUUAAAUUGCUUAAUUAUAGGAGACCUAUAAAGAAAAACUAUGGAUAGGAGACAUAUCUGUAGAGAGACCUUCAUGAAGCCUCCUUGUACAAGACGUUCAUAUAUAAGAGACCGGAGGAGGAUCUUCCAUAUAUAUAGAACAUUCAUAAAAAAUAUUCAAUCUUCUUCCCGGAAACCUAAACAACUCUUCUAUCUACAGAGGACCUAGAAAUACCAAAUAGGAAGCUUUCUACUGUAAAAGACCUAUAUAAAGUCUCUUAAUAAUAGACCAUUAAAGAUCUUUUAUCUAUAGAAUACGUAAAGAAGUUUUCCUAUCUUACAAGAAUUUUUUCAAGGUCUCCUUUCUAUAGAAGACCUCUACAGGGUCUCCAAUAUUUAAAGAACCUAUUGAAGAUCUUCUAACUAUAAAAUACCUAUGGAAGGUCUUCUAUCUAUUGAAGACCUUCUAUGUGUAGAAGACCUAUUGAAGGCCUUCUAUGUGUAGGAGACCUAUGGAAGGUUUUUUAUCUGCAGAAGACGACCUUCAAGUAUAUCAAUGAAAGACCUGUUGAAGGUUAUAUUUAUAUAGGUAUUUAUAAAAUACCUAUUAAAGGUCUUCUAUCUAUAGAUCCCCUAUUAAAGAAGACAAAAGGAAAAGGACCAUAAAAGAUUUAAAUAAUGUCUUUUGUCUAUAGAAGUUCUCCGAUCCAUAGAUCUUUUUUUAAAUACAUAUAAGAAGAUCUAUAAAAAUAUCUAUAAAAAUAUUUAUAAAAAACCUAUGAAGGGUCUUCAUUCCAUAGAAUACCUGUUAAGAAGCUCUUUCAUAUAGAAGACCUUUGAGAAGACUUCUAUCCAUCUAAGACCUUCAUACGGUCUUCUGCAUAUUUAAGACCUGUAGAAGGUCUCCUACCUUUAUUAGACCUAUAGAAGGUCUUCUACCCACAGAAAACCUAAAAAAGGACAUGUGAUUAUAGAAGGUCCAUAAAAGAUAUUUUACAUAUAGAAGGUCUAUAGAAUUUCUUCCAUGUCUAUUGAAGCCCUAUAGAAGGUUUUCAUAUGCAUGUAGAAUAGAAUGUACUCUAUGUAUAUUGAACCUCUUUUGAAGGUCAUCUGCAAAAGGCUUCAUAUUCACAAAAGAUCCACAGAAUGGAGUUUCCGAACACGAUUUGAUUUCUUUUACAUACCUCUGAUACAUAUCAAAAUUAUAGAUAUAAACUAAAAUUUACAAUUUUUUUCAAAUCAAUUUUCCCCAAAAAAUCGGAUUAAAUUCCUCUGUUUUAGGAGGUUUUUUUUUUUGCAAAUCGCUUUUCAAAACAGUAAUAUUCGAACCACUUGGGUUCCUUUUAAUGAUGACAACAAACCUGGGAUAGUGUAACCACAUUGACCCGCCCGCCCCUUCCACCUUCUACUAUUCAUAUACAAUAUAUUUUGCUUGAAAUUUACUAAGAUUAUAAAAAAACAUACAUAAAUUAUUUUUACAAAAUAAUAAAGGAAUUGAAUUCUGUAUUUAUCUUAAAUAAUAAAACUGAAACAAAAAACAAACAAUAAUGUUUUAAAAUGUUCAAAAAAAGAAACAAUUCGAAUAUUUUAUAAAUAUUAAAUAAUUAAAACAGAAAAAAAAAUUAAAUUAAAAUUUAUAAAAAAUUUAAAUUAAAAAUUUAUGAAAAAUUUAAAUUUAUUUUAAUUUUAAGUCAAUAAAAACAAAUAAAAUCAUGUAUCCAUCCUCUUUUCCAACAGCAAAUCAUGCAACAACCAUUCAUAUAUAUUUUUUGUAGGCAAAAAACAAACAUAGCCAUAAUUAAUUAAUUAUUUUUUUGUUUUGUUUUUAGUUUUUAAAUGAAUUCUCUAUAUAUGUAAUUAAACCCAUUAAAAUAUUAAACUAAUUUUAAUUAUAUUAAAUAAAUCUUAAUUUUAAUUAUGUACAUUUCCCCCCUUACAAUUAUCGUUCAUCCAAGCACACCAACAAUAAAAAGAAACGGAAAAAUUUAAAAAAAAA